UACGUAGGGGGCAAGCGUUGUCCGGAUUUAUUGGGCGUAAAGAGCGUGUAGGCGGUCCGGUAAGUCCGCUGUGAAAGUCGGGGGCUCAACCCUCGAAUGCCGGUGGAUACUGUCGGGCUAGAGUGCGGAAGAGGCGAGUGGAAUUCCUGGUGUAGCGGUGGAAUGCGCAGAUAUCAGGAGGAACACCGAUGGCGAAGGCAGAUCUCUGGGCCGUAACUGA
rnacentral:rRNA from 1 species